rnacentral:rRNA from 1 species
GUGGGGAAUAUUGGACAAUGGGGGGAACCCUGAUCCAGCCAUGCCGCGUGUGUGAAGAAGGCCUUUUGGUUGUAAAGCACUUUAAGCGAGGAGGAGGCUACCGAGAUUAAUACUCUUGGAUAGUGGACGUUACUCGCAGAAUAAGCACCGGCUAACUCUGUGCCAGCAGCCGCGGUAAUACAGAGGGUGCAAGCGUUAAUCGGAUUUACUGGGCGUAAAGCGCGCGUAGGUGACCAAUUAAGUCAAAUGUGAAAUCCCCGAGCUUAACUUGGGAAUUGCAUUCGAUACUGGUUGGCUAGAGUAUGGGAGAGGAUGGUAGAAUUCCAGGUGUAGCGGUGAAAUGCGUAGAGAUCUGGAGGAAUACCGAUGGCGAAGGCAGCCAUCUGGCCUAAUACUGACACUGAGGUGCGAAAGCAUGGGGAGCAAACAGGAUUAGAUACCCGGGUAGUCC